rnacentral:rRNA from 1 species
GUGAGAUUACCCGCUGAAUUUAAGCAUAUUAAUAAGCGGAGGAAAAAGAAAACUAACAAGGAUUCCUUUAGUAACGGCGAGUGAAGAAGGAAUAGCUCAAAUUUAAAAUCAUUUAUCUUUGAUGAAUGAAUUGUAGUUUUAGAAGUUGGAUUCGUUUUUUAAUAAUAUAUUUAAAUCCUUUGGAAAAAGGUAUCAUAGAAGGUGAUAAUCCUGUUUAUAAUAUAUUAAUUAAAGAACAUAUGUAUCUGAUUUCAAGAGUCGGGUUGUUUGGGAAUGCAACCUAAAAUGGGUGGUAAAUCUCAUCUAAAGCUAAAUAUUGAUAGGAGACCGAUAGCAAACAAGUACCGUGAGGGAAAGGUGAAAAGAACUUUGAAAAGAGAGUUAAAAGUACUUGAAAUUGUUAACAGGG